UACGGCCACAUCACGUUGAAACACCGGUUUCCGUACGAUCACCGAAGUUAAGCAACGUCAAGUAUGGUCAGUACCUAGAUGGUGACCGCUUGGGAAUAUCAGGUGCUGUAAG